AGACAAAAAAAAUGAAGCUCUCAGGAGACACAUAUGUUACACACAACUGGCAGUAGCAGAGAUGUGAUCCAAACCCAGGCUGCUGAGUAUUGUGAAAAGAGAUCUGAGCUUGGAAGAUUGGACACGGAUUCCAGUAGUGAUGCCCAACCAAGUGGAGAGAUUCCUCUGAGACUCAGUUUUAUCAGACAAAAGCCAGAAAUUUUACUUGGUCUGUUUGCUUUAGAAGAAUCCCGAAGCAUCAAGUAAAAUAAUUAAUGUGAAUAUAAUUUUAAAAAUAUGAAGUUUUAGGAAAAUAAAUGUCACUCAUAAUCA